rnacentral:rRNA from 1 species
CCUACGGGGGGCUGCAGUUUCGAAUCAUUCACAAUGGGCGAAAGCCUGAUGGUGCGACGCCGCGUGAGGGAUGAAGGCCUUCGGGUUGUAAACCUCUGUCACCGGGGAAGAAACGCUUCAAGUUAAUAGCUUGAAGCCUGACUUAACCCGGAGAGGAAGCAGUGGCUAACUCUGUGCCAGCAGCCGCGGUAAUACAGAGGCUGCACGCGUUAUUCGGAUUCACUGGGCGUAAAAGGUGCGCAGGCGGGCAAGCCCGGGGCUUAACCCCGGAAGUGCACCUCAAACUACAGGGCUAGAGCAGUGGAGAGGGUAGCGGAAUUCACGGUGUAGCAGUGAAAUGCGUAGAUAUCGUGAGGAACACCAGAGGCGAAGGCGGCUACCUGGACAAUUGCUGACGCUCAGGCACGAAAGCGUGGGGAGCAAAAGGGAUUAGAUACCCCGGUAGUC